rnacentral:rRNA from 1 species
GUAAGAUAGCAAGAGCAUACGGAGGAUGCCUUGGCACAGAGAGGCGAAGAAGGACGUGGCUACCUACGAAAUGCCUCGGCGAGCUGGAAGCAAGCUAUGACCCGAGGAUGUCCGAAUGGGGAAACCCAACAGGGGUCAUGCCCUGUUACCCGAAAGGGAGCAAACCAAGGGAAGUGAAACAUCUCAGUACCUUGAGGAAGAGAAAACAAUAGUGAUUCCCUGAGUAGUGGCGAGCGAAAAGGGAAAAGCCCAAACCCAUAUUCGAAGAAUGUGGGGGUAGUAGGACACCAAUGUGUGACUGUACGAGAUAGUGGAACGGCGUGGGAAAGCCGACCAAAGAGGGUGAGAGUCCCGUAGACGAAAUCUCAAGCAGCACUAGGUUGUUCCUGAGUACCGCGGAGCACGUGAAAUUCUGCGGGAAUCUGCCGGAACCAUCCGGUAAGGCUAAAUACUCCUCUGUGACCGAUAGUGAACCAGUACCGUGAGGGAAAGGUGAAAAGAACCCUUCAGAAGGGAGUGAAAAGAAUCUGAAACCGUAUGCUUACAAACGGUCGGAGCGCGCAAGCGUGACGGCGUGCCUUUUGCUUAAUGAGCCAACGAGUUACUCGUCACAUGCAAGGGUAAGGUCAUAGAUGACCGCACCCGGAGCGAAAGCAAGUCUGAAAAGGGCGUCAAGUGUGUGGCGGUAGACGCGAAACCGUGUGAUCUAUCCAUGGUCAGGAUGAAGUGUGGGUAACACCACAUGGAGGUCCGAACUGGUGCGGGUUGAAAACUGCUCGGAUGAACUGUGGAUAGGGGUGAAAGGCCAAUCAAACUCGGUGAUAGCUCGUACUCCCCGAAAUGUUUUUAGGAACAGCCUCGCAUAUAUGUACCGGAGGUAGGGCUCUGAUUGGGCUAGGGCUGUCACAACGGUACCGAACCCAGAUAAACUUCAAAUACCGGAUACAGUAAGUGCGGGAGUGAGGCAGUGAGGGAUAAGCUUCAUUGCCGAGAGGGAAAGAACCCAGACCGCCGAUUAAGGUCCCCAAGUGUAUGCUAACAGAUAAAGGAUGUGCAGUUGCAUAGACAGCUAGGAUGUUGGCUUAGAAGCAGCCAUUCAUUGAAAGAGUGCGUAAUAGCUCACUAGUCGAGCGACUGUGCGCCGAUAAUACUCGGGACUUCAAGCAUACCACCGAAAUCGCGGACUUAGUAAUAAGUGGUAGGGGAGCAUUCCAUGGGCGGAGAAGCUGUGCUGUGAGGCAUGGUGGAGCGCAUGGAAGAGCAAAUGUUGGCAUUAGUAGCGAGAACGGAAGUGAGAAUCUUCCGCGCCGAAAGUCUAAGGUUUCCUGAGCUCCGUUCGUCGACUCAGGGUUAGGCGGCCCCUAAGGCGAGGCCGAAAGGCGUAGUUGAUGGGAAGCAGGCAAAUUUACAAUAUUCCUGCCCCACCAAAAGAGUUAAACACAGGGACGCAGGAGCGUACUUCCAUAGAAUUAAUGGCUAUUUUUAUGGAACAAAGCAUACUGCCGAGAAAAGCUGUGUGUAUUUCUUCGGUGACCGUACCGCAAACCGACACAGGUAGAUGGGUAGAGUAUACUAAGGCGCGCGAGUGAGCCGUGGUUAAGGAACUCGGCAAAUUAACCCCGUAACUUCGGGAGAAGGGGUGCCAUCUUCGGAUGGUCGCAGAGAAACGGCCCAAGCGACUGUUUAGCAAAAACACAUCUCUCUGCUAACACGUAAAGUGGACGUAUAGGGAGUGACACCUGCCCGGUGCCGGAAGGUUAAGAGGAGAGGUUAGGAGCAAUCCAACGCUUUGAAUCGAAGCCCCGGUAAACGGCGGCCGUAACUAUAACGGUCCUAAGGUAGCGAAAUUCCUUGUCGGGUAAGUUCCGACCUGCACGAAUGGUGUAACGAUUUGGGCACUGUCUCAACCACGGGCUCGGCGAAAUUGUGGUACCGGUGAAGACGCCGGUUACCCGCAUAUGGACGGAAAGACCCUAUGCACCUUUACUAUAACUUAGUAUUGGGUUUGGUUGCAUGAUGCGUAGGAUAGGUGGGAGGCUGCGAUCCGGUACUUUCGGGUAUCGGGGAGCCAACGGUGAAAUACCACCCUUCAUGCAAUCGGAUUCUAACCCGGCGGAGUGGAUCCGCGGGAACAGUGCUAGGCGGGUAGUUUGACUGGGGCGGUCGCCUCCUAAAAUGUAACGGAGGCUUGCCAAGGUUCCCUCAGCACGGUUGGUAAUCGUGCGUAGAGUGCAAAAGCAUAAGGGAGCUUGACUGCAAGAGAGACAUCUCGAGCAGGGACGAAAGUCGGCUUUAGUGAUCCGGCGGCUCUGAAUGGAAAGGCCGUCGCUCAAAGGAUAAAAGGUACGCUAGGGAUAACAGGCUGAUCUUGCCCAAGAGUUCACAUCGACGGCAAGGUUUGGCACCUCGAUGUCGGCUCAUCGCAUCCUGGGGCUGGAGAAGGUCCCAAGGGUUUGGCUGUUCGCCAAUUAAAGCGGUACGUGAGCUGGGUUCAGAACGUCGUGAGACAGUUCGGUCCCUAUCCUAUGCGGGCGAAAGAAACUUGAGAAGGCUCGUUCUUAGUACGAGAGGACCGGAACGAACGAACCUCUAGUGUACCAGUUGUUUUGCCAAAAGCACCGCUGGGUAGCUAUGUUCGGUUGAGAUAAGCGCUGAAAGCAUCUAAGCGCGAAACUCGCUUCAAGAUUAGGUUUCUCUUCCCUUCGGGGAAUAAGGCUCGUCGAAGAUUACGACGUUGAUAGGCUUCAGGUGUAAGCAUAGUAAUGUGUUCAGCCGAGAAGUACUAAUAAGCCGAAGACUUUACCUU